GAUGAUGAAAUUUGCCCCACUUGGUUCCCAUUCUUGCCUGGGCCAUUCCAGGCCCCCCCCCUGCCCAGCGGCCAGCCCGACCCUUCUCCCUUUCUCUCUUCCUCCACCUGUUCCAGUUCUGUGUUACUGUGCAACACACCACCCCAACAGGAGCGGUGUGAACCAGCUACUGGGGUUCGUGGAUUCUAUGGCGAGUCAGGUCAGUUAUCUUCGGAAUAUGGCAGAGCACUGCUAAUGGUUUGUGCUGUGACUCACUGUGAGGCUGGCCAAAUGCUCCAGACACCCAAGACUAUCGGAUCCACUGAAUCAUGUGGCCCAGAUGGCCGAGAGCUUACGUGGCAGCCUGGGCCUCCUGCAGCAUCUCCUUUUGUUCUGGAUUACUCAGGAAGGGAUGUCUGCUGGGCCCCUAGACAUUUCAGACGUGGAAAGCCUUGGACUUUUUGUGGAAUUUAUUUUUCACUGGGCCUACUGAGGAUAAAUGCCGCUUUCUGCUCAUCACUUCAGUCAAUGUGAUGUCACCAAUGUAAUGGUGUGAGGUCCAGUGGAGAGGAGCAGCGACCGAGUCCCCAUGGACUUGCUUCGGUAAUAAAACCACCA